rnacentral:rRNA from 1 species
CCUAAGGGGGUACUGCGGAGGUCAUUAAAAACGAUUAAGAGCCGCCGGGUAAACGCCCGGCGCGCUCGAGUUCCAAACCCUCUGUGUACCUUUACCUUUGUUGCUUCCCGUCCGGGUGCGCCCCGGCCGGGGAGGUCCAUUCAAACUCUUGUUUUCUUGUUGCAGUCAGUAUGAGCGGCUCGUCCGCGCUAAUUAAAAAGUUAAAACUUUCAACAACGGAUCUCUUGGUUCUCGCAUCGAUGAAGAACGCAGCGAAAUGCGAUAAGUAGUGUGAAUUGCAGAAUUCAGUGAAUCAUCGAAUCUUUGAACGCACAUUGCGCCCUCUGGCAUUCCGGAGGGCAUGCCUGUCCGAGCGUCGUUAAACUCCUCAAGCAUUCUUUUGCUUGGUCAUGGCGGAAGAUCGUCCUUGUGGCGUUCCCCGCUCAAAGAGAUCUGGCGGAGAGGCCUGGCCGUCGUGGACGUAGUAAGUUAAUUCCCUUCGUCUUCUGAGCGGCCUAGGUACCCAGCCGUGAACCCCAACGUCUAGGAUUUCCUCGGAUCAGGUAGGGAUACCCGCUGAACUUAAGCAUA